AUUGAACGCUGGCGGAAUGCUUUACACAUGCAAGUCGAACGGUAGAGGGGGCAACCCCCUUGAGAGUGGCGAACGGGUGAGUAAUAUAUCGGAACGUGCCCAGUCGUGGGGGAUAACGUAGCGAAAGUUACGCUAAUACCGCAUACGAUCUAAGGAUGAAAGCGGGGGAUCGCAAGACCUCGCGCGAUUGGAGCGGCCGAUAUCAGAUUAGGUAGUUGGUGAGGUAAAGGCUCACCAAGCCAACGAUCUGUAGCUGGUCUGAGAGGACGACCAGCCACACUGGAACUGAGACACGGUCCAGACUCCUACGGGAGGCAGCAGUGGGGAAUUUUGGACAAUGGACGCAAGUCUGAUCCAGCCAUUCCGCGUGCAGGAU
rnacentral:rRNA from 1 species